GUAGGUGGCAAGCGUUGUCCGGAAUUAUUGGGCGUAAAGCGCGCGCAGGCGGUCCUUAAGUCUGAUGUGAAAGCCCACGGCUCAACCGUGGAGGGUCAUUGGAAACUGGGGGACUUGAGUACAGAAGAGGAAAGCGGAAUUCCAAGUGUAGCGGUGAAAUGCGUAGAGAUUUGGAGGAACACCAGUGGCGAAGGCGGCUUCUGGUCUGUAACUGACGCUGAGGCGCGAAAGCGUGGGGAGCAAACAGGAUUAGAUACCCUGGUAGUCCACGCCGUAAACGAUGAGUGCUAAGUGUUAGGGGGUUUCCCGCCCCCUUAGUGCUGCAGCUAACGCAUUAAGCACUCCGCCUGGGGAGUACGGCCGCAAGGCUG
rnacentral:rRNA from 1 species